rnacentral:lncRNA from 1 species
UUUUUCCAGUUAGAAGCAGGACAUAUUUCUUUCUAUUCAUUAUUUCUUACAAUGUUCUCGUAGCUUCAGAGGCAAAAGACUGGUAGAGAGACACCAACUUUUACUCUUUCUAAGCUACAAAAAAAUGACUGUUGUUUCUAAAUUUAGCUCAUUAUAAUUAUCUGGUUUUCCCCCAAACCUGCCUGACUUGCCUGAUUAGUCUAAUCCGGGGGUCUAAUGACUAAACUAAGGGGAAGGAUGGCUGGCAACUAAUGUAGCCCUAGUGUCAUAUAUGAGGAUAUAUCUCUGUGGUGGUUACAGCAGAUUAAAUUGGUGUUUUCACACUGCAGAUGUGAUGUGUAGUUCUACAGACAUACCCUGAGCUGGUACAUGCAAACCACAGUCCCCCAGAACCAGAGCUCCUGGCAGGAUGGUGGAAGCUAUGGUGGGAUGUGGAGGAAGAGGAGCCCAAGAUUCAGAUGGGCUCUUCAGUCAGGCAGCUGUGAGGCUCCCUGCGCAGCAGCCACCUUGGCCCCGUGGAGGCAAGACAUCUGGGCUGGCCUCCUAGAUGUGAAACAAGCCUCCUUCGCUCGCUGACUCAGCCUGACUGAGGCUUUCCCCCCACAGUCAAGGAUAAAGCUUUCCACAAGAGCAACCGACUUCAACAUACAAGUGACUGGUGUCAUUCAUCUAUUACUCAUUUGUUCAUUCAUCGGACACAUGCAGUGCCCAUGUGCGCCAGGGGUGGUAGACAAACGGGAGUGACCCUUGCAAAUAUCUUCCAGUUUCCCAGGAAGGAGGUGCCUGGGCUAAGGGAGGAUUUGCUCCCAGACUCAGCUUACUGUGGACCUCCAGGGUUCACAUAUUAGACAGACCACCAGGUCACUGAGGCUUCUAUCAAGGGCUGAACUAUAAGGCCAGGCAGUUGAUGACUCUAAUCCAAGCUGCAUUUGCCGUGCUCAUCAGAUGAGCGGGCCCAUGAGGAC